ACGAACGCUGGCGGCGUGCCUAAUACAUGCAGGUAGAACGCACAGUUUAUACCGUAGCUUGCUACACCAUAGACUGUGAGUUGCGAACGGGUGAGUAACGCGUAGGUAACCUGCCUGGUAGCGGGGGAUAACUAUUGGAAACGAUAGCUAAUACCGCAUAAUAUUAAUUAUUGCAUGAUAAUUAAUUGAAAGGUGCAAUUGCACCACUACCAGAUGGACCUGCGUUGUAUUAGCUAGUAGGUGAGGUAACGGCUCACCUAGGCGACGAUACAUAGCCGACCUGAGAGGGUGAUCGGCCACACUGGGACGGAGACACGCCCCAGACCCCUAGGGGGGGCAGCAGUAGGGAAUCUUGGGCAAGGGACGAAAGUCUGACCGAGCAACGCCGCGUGAGUGAAGAAGGUUUUCGGAUCGUAAAGCUCGGUUGUAAGAGAAGAACGGGUGUGAGAGUGGAAAGUUCACACUGUGACGGUAUCUUACCAGAAAGGGACGGCUAACUACGUG
rnacentral:rRNA from 1 species